ACCCGCUGAACUUAAGCAUAUCAAUAAGCGGAGGAAAAGAAACCAACAGGGAUUGCCUCAGUAACGGCGAGUGAAGCGGCAACAGCUCAAAUUUGAAAUCUGGCGUCUUCGGCGUCCGAGUUGUAAUUUGUAGAGGGAGUCUCGGGUGGAGUGCCGGUCCAAGUCCCUUGGAACAGGAUACCAGAGAGGGUGAGAGUCCCGUAUCUGGCCGGUUGCGACCCCGUGUGAGGCCCCUUCGACGAGUCGAGUUGUUUGGGAAUGCAGCUCUAAUUGGGUGGUAAAUUCCAUCUAAAGCUAAAUACUGGCCAGAGACCGAUAGCGCACAAGUAGAGUGAUCGAAAGAUGAAAAGCACUUUGAAAAGAGAGUUAAAAAGUACGUGAAAUUGUUGAAAGGGAAGCGUAUGUGGCCAGACUUGGUCGCGGUUGCUCAGCUCGUCUUCUGGCGAGUGUAUUCUUCCGCGGUCAGGCCAGCAUCGGUUUGGGCGGUCGGAUAAAGGCGCUGGGAAUGUGGCUCUUCGGAGUGUUAUAGCCCGGUGUGCAAUGCGGCCUGCCCGGACCGAGGACCGCGCUCUGCUAGGAUGCUGGCGUAAUGGCCUUAUACGGCCCGUCUUGAAACACGG
rnacentral:rRNA from 1 species